GAUGAACGCUAGCGGCAGGCUUAACACAUGCAAGUCGAGGGGUAUUGGUUUUCGGACCAAGAGACCGGCGCACGGGUGCGUAACGCGUAUGCAAUCUACCUUUUGCAGAGGGAUAGCCCAGAGAAAUUUGGAUUAAUACCUCAUAGUAUAGUACUUUGGCAUCAGGGAACUAUUAAAGUCACAACGGCAAAAGAUGAGCAUGCGUCCCAUUAGCUAGUUGGUAAGGUAACGGCUUACCAAGGCUACGAUGGGUAGGGGUCCUGAGAGGGAGAUCCCCCACACUGGUACUGAGACACGGACCAGACUCCUACGGGAGGCAGCAGUGAGGAAUAUUGGACAAUGGGCGCAAGCCUGAUCCAGCCAUGCCGCGUGCAGGAUGACGGUCCUAUGGAUUGUAAACUGCUUUUAUACAGGAAGAAACACUCCGACGUGUCGGAGCUUGACGGUACUGUAAGAAUAAGGAUCGGCUAACUCCGUGCCAGCAGCCGCGGUAAG
rnacentral:rRNA from 1 species